UACGGGGGGAGCAAGCGUUGUUCGGAUUUACUGGGCGUAAAGGGCGCGUAGGCGGCCACCGCAAGUCGACUGUGAAAUCUCCGGGCUUAACCCGGAAAGGUCAGCCGAUACUGCGGGGCUAGAGUGCAGAAGGGGCAACUGGAAUUCUCGGUGUAGCGGUGAAAUGCGUAGAUAUCGGGAGGAACACCUGCGGCGAAGGCGGGUUGCUGGGCUGACACUGACGCUGAUGCGCGAAAGCUAGGGGAGCGAACGGG
rnacentral:rRNA from 1 species